rnacentral:rRNA from 1 species
GACGAACGCUGGCGGCGUGCUUAACACAUGCAAGUCGAGCGGUAAGGCCCUUUCGGGGGUACACGAGCGGCGAACGGGUGAGUAACACGUGAGCAACCUGCCCUUCUCUUGGGGAUAACCAGUGGAAACGCUGGCUAAUACCCGAUAUGACCAUCUCAUGCAUGUGGGGUGGUGGAAAGUUCCGGCGGAGAGGGAUGGGCUCGCGGCCUAUCAGCUUGUUGGUGAGGUAGUGGCUCACCAAGGCGACGACGGGUAGCCGGCCUGAGAGGGUGACCGGCCACACUGGGACUGAGACACGGCCCAGACUCCUACGGGAGGCAGCAGUGGGGAAUAUUGCGCAAUGGGCGGAAGCCUGACGCAGCGACGCCGCGUGAGGGAUGACGGCCUUCGGGUUGUAAACCUCUUUCAGCAGGGACGAAGCGCAAGUGACGGUACCUGCAGAAGAAGCACCGGCCAACUACGUGCCAGCCGCCGCAGUAAUAC